AGCAGCAGCCGCGGUAAUACGUAGGUGGCAAGCGUUGUCCGGAAUUAUUGGGCGUAAAGCGCGCGCAGGCGGAUAGGUCAGUCUGUCUUAAAAGUUCGGGGCUUAACCCCGUGAUGGGAUGGAAACUGCCAAUCUAGAGUAUCGGAGAGGAAAGUGGAAUUCCUAGUGUAGCGGUGAAAUGCGUAGAUAUUAGGAAGAACACCAGUGACGAAGGCGACUUUCUGGACGAAAACUGACGCUGAGGCGCGAAAGCCAGGGGAGCGAACGGGAUUAGAUACCCCCGUAGUCCCUGUCUCUUAUACC
rnacentral:rRNA from 1 species